CCUACGGGAGGCAGCAGUGAGGAAUAUUGGUCAAUGGACGAGAGUCUGAACCAGCCAAGUAGCGUGAAGGAUGACUGCCCUAUGGGUUGUAAACUUCUUUUAUAUGGGAAUAAAACGUUCCACGUGUGGGAUUUUGUAUGUACCAUAUGAAUAAGGAUUGGCUAACUCCGUGCCAGCAGCCGCGGUAAUACGGAGGAUCCGAGCGUUAUCCGGAUUUAUUGGGUUUAAAGGGAGCGUAGGUGGAUUGUUAAGUCAGUUGUGAAAGUUUGCGGCUCAACCGUAAAAUUGCAGUUGAAACUGGCAGUCUUGAGUACAGUAGAGGUGGGCGGAAUUCGUGGUGUAGCGGUGAAAUGCUUAGAUAUCACGAAGAACUCCGAUUGCGAAGGCAGUUCACUGGACUGCAACUGACACUGAGGCUCGAAAGUGUGGGUAUCAAACAGGAUUAGAUACCCCGGUAGUC
rnacentral:rRNA from 1 species